UACGUAGGGCGCAAGCGUUAUCCGGAAUUAUUGGGCGUAAAGAGCUCGUAGGCGGUUUGUCGCGUCUGCCGUGAAAGUCCGGGGCUCAACUCCGGAUCUGCGGUGGGUACGGGCAGACUAGAGUGAUGUAGGGGGAGACUGGAAUUCCUGGUGUAGCGGUGAAAUGGCGCAGAUAUCAGGAGGAACACCGGUGGCGAAGGCGGGUCUCUGGACAGUUCCUGACACUGAGGCACGGAAAGGCCAGGGGAGCAAACGGG
rnacentral:rRNA from 1 species